AACUGAUGAGGUAUCUUCUUGAAGUGUCAUCUUCAAGGGCAAGACACUAUGAGAAAGUAGUACUAACUGAAGUAACUACAAAAAAUGACAAUUUCAGUGGACCUGAAAAUCUGCCUUAUGGGGCUUGCAUGUGAUAUGAUACAAAUCUACCUACAUGAGCUAUAAUCCUUGUGAGGAUAUUCAUUGAUGGAGUAGAAGGAGUUGGCCAACAGGAAGUUCUGUAAUUCACUCUGAUAUCAAUCUUUAUCACUUACAAGACCUUCGAUAUGCUCUGGUACAUAACAGAUUGCAAGACGAAGCAAGGACUGGAGUAAAAUUCAGGAAGACCUGCGGAGGAUUUGCACUUGGUGCAAGGAGUAGCAACUUACUGUCAACAUAAGCAAAUUUAAUGUAUUGUGUAUAUGUAGUUAGAAAGACAUAUUAGUCCAUGACUACAGGAUAGCAGAAUGCUUGCUGGUAGCAGUUACUUCAGUAAAAUAUGUAGGAGUAUA